GGGAUGACCUCCACCAUGGCCUGGGCCCCUCUCCUCCUCACCCUCCUGGCUCACUGCACAGGAUCCUGGGCCCAGUCUGUGCUGACUCAGCCAUCCUCAGUGUCGGGGUCCCCGGGCGAGAGGGUCACCAUCUCCUGCACUGGAAGCAGCUCCAACAUUGGGAGUUACCAUGUGUCUUGGCACCAGCAGCUCCCAGGAAAGGCCCCCAAACCCCUCAUCUAUGAGAGUAGCAAACGACCCUCAGGGAUUCCGGACCGAUUCUCUGGCUCCAAGUCUGGCAGCUCAGCCUCCCUGACCAUCACGGGGCUGCAGGCUGAGGAUGAGGCCGACUAUUACUGCGAGUCAUACGACAGCAGUAUCAACGGUCCCACAGUGCUGCAGGCCUGUGGGGAAGUGAGACAAAAACCCCUCUGGUCUGCGAGGGGGUGA